rnacentral:tRNA from 1 species
GGGAGUAUGGCCAAGUAGUAAGGCAAGCGGCUGCAACCCGCUGAUCGAGGGUGCAAAUCCCUCUACUCCCU